rnacentral:rRNA from 1 species
UACGUAGGGGGCAAGCGUUGUCCGGAAUCAUUGGGCGUAAAGCGCGCGUAGGCGGCCUCAUAAGUCCGUUGUGAAAGUCAAAGGCUCAACCUUUGAAAGCCGAUGGAUACUGUGAGGCUAGAGUCCGGAAGAGGCGAGUGGAAUUCCUGGUGUAGCGGUGGAAUGCGCAGAUAUCAGGAGGAACACCGGUGGUGUAGACGGCUUUCUGGACCGACACUGACGCUGAGACACGAAAGCGUGGGUAGCAAACAGG